AACGAACGCUGGCGGCGUGCCUAACACAUGCAAGUCGAGCGCGAAAGUCCCUUCGGGGGCGAGUAGAGCGGCGGACGGGUGAGUAAUACAUGGAUAAUCUCCCCUCGAGCUUGGGAUAACCCUGCGAAAGCGGGGCUAAUACCGGAUAAGACCACGUGACCAAGGUCAUGCGGUAAAAGGUGGCUUUAUUUUCGGAUGAGGCUAUCACUUGAGGAUGAGUCCAUGGCCUAUCAGCUUGUUGGUGAGGUAACGGCUCACCAAGGCUAUGACGGGUAGCUGGUCUGAGAGGACGACCAGCCACACUGGGACUGAGACACGGCCCAGACUCCUACGGGA
rnacentral:rRNA from 1 species